CCUCCCAAGAUUUGGUUCUCGAUCCGCCCCUGCACAUGUUAGAAUAAAAUCCAACCAGUAAUUUAGAUUGGCAGCAUACAGAGUUAAAACAACCCUGUUAAUGAUAGGAAAGGAAAAUACUAAACUUUUUAGACUAUAAGCUUAUUUGGGUAGGGCCCUCUUCACCUACCGUUCCUAUAUAUCAGAACACGUUUUCACAGGAUUGUUUGUGCUGAUU